rnacentral:rRNA from 1 species
UAAAUUGUUUAUUAAUUGUAAACUGGAAUGAAAGAAAAUAUUUUUAGUUACUUUAUUGGUUUUAAUCUUUGAAUUUAGAAUCUUUGUAAAAAUACUUAGAUGAAAAUUAGGGACAAGAAGACCCUAUAAAGCUUUACAUAAUAAUAGAAUUUUUUAAUUUUAUUCAAAAUGUUUUAUUGGGGCAAUUUUUUGAAAAAUACAUUAAAUACUAAAAUAUAGAUUAAAUAUUGAUCCAUAAAUUAUGAUUAAUUGAAUAAGUUACUUUAGGGAUAACAGGAUAAUUUUCUUUAUAAAGUUCAAAUUGAAAAAGAAGUUUAUUACCUCGAUGUUGGAUUAAUUUUAUAAUCUGGAGAAGAAUCUAGAUUUUAUUGACUGUUCGUCAAAUAAAUAAUUACAUGAUCUGAGUUC